AGAUGCUGGGAGUUUUGACUUUUUUUCUGUUAGUCAAACAGCGCAGAUGCGCGAUCACGACCAGAUUAACCUGUCAGUGUCUUGCUGCCGCACCUUGUUGUCAGUUGCCGUAAAUUGUGCCAGUGGCGACCGGUCGCGACACACCGUAAAGCAGACACAAACACUAAACUAUGGAUUUUGGCGGAGAUAAUGGAAAGUACAGCAAAGAAGAGGAGAUGCAGCUUCAACAAAGACUGGGAAACUACAUAUCACUGGGUGAAGCCGGUGCAAGGUGAUUCUCAGAGAGUUUUCUGUCAAGUUUGCCAGAGUUCGUUUUCCGUUUCAUACGGUGGGAAUACGACGUGAAGCGACACAGUACAUGCAAGACCCCCUCUCAGCUUUGUCUUCUCCAGAACAUCCCAAAGGUUCUCAGUGGUUCUGAGGUCUGGACUCUGUGGAGGACAAUCCAUCUCAUGCUCCCUGAUCCACUCAUUCUCAAUGUGAGCCCAUGAAUCCUGGCAUCAUCAUCUAGGAACAUGAAGAAAACCUCCACUGAUGGAAAGACCUGGUCAUUCAGUAUCUUCAGGUAUCAGCUGACCUCAUUCUUUGGGAACAUAAUGUUGGUGAACCUGACCAACCCCAGAUCAUAACCCUAACCCCUACUAGCCAUGAUGAGGGCAUCACUUCAUCUGCCUCUCUUCUUACCCUGAUGCCCCCAUCACUCUGGAACAGGGUAAAUCUGGACUCAUCAGACCACAUUAGUUCCUGGAAGAUGAUGGUUCUCCACCAUUCUUCAGGUUUUAAUAAUGCGUUGCAUGGUUCUUAACCUGAUUUUAGUCGUUUCAUCUCCUUAGUUAUUUUCUUUGCUUGAUGUAGGCCAGUAAUGUGACCCUUCUGAGACAGAUUAACAUCCUUUCCAUGACCCACAGGAUAUGUCUUUAACAUGGUUGUUUCAGAAAUGAGAAGCUCCUCACUGUACCAGCUAGGGUUAAAUAGGGUGUUUCAUCACUGCAGUAAUUAUCCAAUGGGGGGAUCUGACCUAUUUGCUUCGUUAAAUGCAGGUGGAGACUUUUAUUUUUUGAACAGGCAGUGUGUUAUCAGUGAAAAAGAGCUUGGGGUAGUACUACAAAUAUCACAAUUUCUUUAAAAGUAUAAAAGGUAACUUCAAAAUUUAAAUGGAAUGAUAUCAAAAACAUGUUCUUUGAUGAAUAGCUGGAGAAUGAAAUGAUAAAAACUUUUCAUUACAAAUAUAUUUCAAGAAAACGACCUCACCGUGUCAUUUUUGACCCACAUAUGCAUCUAGGGGUUAAAUAAAUGAGAGCUUACUUAAUGAGAGGAUGGGAGUAAACGCCA
ensembl:lncRNA